UACGUAGGGUGCGAGCGUUGUCCGGAAUUAUUGGGCGUAAAGGGCUUGUAGGCGGUCUGUCGCGUCUGCUGUGAAAAUCCGGGGCUCAACCCCGGACUUGCAGUGGGUACGGGCAGACUAGAGUGUGGUAGGGGAGACUGGAAUUCCUGGUGUAGCGGUGAAAUGCGCAGAUAUCAGGAGGAACACCGAUGGCGAAGGCAGGUCUCUGGGCCACUACUGACGCCGAGACGCGAAAGCGUGGGGAGCAAACAGG
rnacentral:rRNA from 1 species